CCUACGGGAGGCAGCAGUGAGGAAUAUUGGUCAAUGGACGAGAGUCUGAACCAGCCAAGUAGCGUGAAGGAUGACUGCCCUAUGGGUUGUAAACUUCUUUUAUAUGGGAAUAAAAUGUUCCACGUGUGGGAUUUUGUAUGUACCAUAUGAAUAAGGAUCGGCUAACUCCGUGCCAGCAGCCGCGGUAAUACGGAGGAUCCGAGCGUUAUCCGGAUUUAUUGGGUUUAAAGGGAGCGUAGGUGGAUUGUUAAGUCAGUUGUGAAAGUUUGCGGCUCAACCGUAAAAUUGCAGUUGAAACUGGCAGUCUUGAGUACAGUAGAGGUGGGCGGAAUUCGUGGUGUAGCGGUGAAAUGCUUAGAUAUCACGAAGAACUCCGAUUGCGAAGGCAGCUCACUGGACUGCAACUGACACUGAGGCUCGAAAGCGUGGGGAUCAAACAGGAUUAGAUACCCUAGUAGUC
rnacentral:rRNA from 1 species